UUUUUCUAUUGAUUAAUCAUCUUUAUCCAUGAUUCGAAUGUGUUUAGUGUGUUUUCGUGUACACUUGGAUUAUUGUAAUGGUUGUUUAAAACAUGUACUAUGCUUUGGUAGUAUCAUUUAUUGAUCCUUCCGAUAAGUUAUGAGCUCAUUCAAGAUUAAUAUGUAAAAAGUUGAAGAAAUGAUGUAAAUAAAAUAAAACUAAAACUUAACCUCAAAACUUGAGCUUAACGGACAUUCAAUAUAUCGAGAAACUAAACGAAUUAAAUCAUAAAUUGGAAAUUAUAAUUGAAAGUGUAUUAAAUUGUAAUGAUUCAUGAUACUACAGAAGUGGAACUCAAAUGAAAAAUGAUCAAAAAUAGGUUGAAUUGAUAAGAACGAAAAAGGACUUGCAUGGAUUCCAUUACCGCCAUCAAAGAACCAGAUGAAGAAAAGUAAAGUAUCAAGCAAUACACGGAAUCAAUUAAAGGGUAUACAUGAGUCAAAAGAUCCACCAAGAAAGGAAAAAAGAAAAGUAGUUAUGUACAAACAAGUUGUACAAUCCAACGAUAGAACCUAAUUAAAAUAUGACGGAGCAUGCAAAUAAUAAUGUAAUAAAUUAUAAAGCAAAAUAACUUGAAGGAACUAAUAUAUAAAUUUCAGAUUCUUUCUAUUGUUUUAUCAGAUUCAGUUUCUUUGAAGAGAGUUGUAAGAGAUUAAUCUAUAGUCGCUAUUGAAAGAGGAUCAAAAUUAUCUUUUGGAAUAUCAUGUUAAAAUAUGAAAAGACGAAGAGAGAAAAUGUUGAUAGAAAAAAAUUGAUUUGUACCAUGAUUGUACAGAUUAUUGACUAAAUGUUUUGGAGAGUAUCAUAUUAAUUAGUAACUCAUAGAGUUUUGUCGGAGCAUGUGAGACAGAAUCUGAUAAAUUUUCCUGUAGUUAAAUAGACUCGUAUAAUUGAAUUCAUAAAUUGUAAUCUUUAUCUUUUUUCUUCGUUAAAAAAAAAAGCUAGGUAUGAAGGGUGUUAAGUAAAAUACUAAAAAUAAUUCUUUC